CUAUAGUCAGGAUGGCUCUGAUACCAGCUCUAUGGGGACCCCUACUUACAAGCCGAGAUCGCCGAUUGAUCGUGCUCAGUGAUCCCAGAGAUCAAUGCUCACUGAACACACAGAUACUGAAUAAUAAGAGUCUUACAUCCGAGUACCGAAUUUAUUACAUCACAUAACCGAAUGGUCAAGUUCACAUGGUUGGUCCUAAGGCCAAAUCAUACUGAUACAACUAAUAGCGAAAAUCAUAGGGGCUAAGCGGGUGCCCAUGCCAUCAAGCCUACACCGACAGGCAUUCUGACUUGGAAGCGUCCUAGUUCGCAGGGGCGUCUCCGAAGACGUACUCAUCUCCAAACUCCGGUCCUUCCAUGCCUGGUCAAUAAUAUAACCAGUGGCAAGCCAAUGAGUACUUUUGAAUGUACUCGCAAAUAGCCCAUGAU
rnacentral:lncRNA from 1 species